AUUGAACGCUGGCGGCAGGCUUAACACAUGCAAGUCGAGCGAGUGGCGGACGGGUGAGUAAUGUCUGGGAAACUGCCUGAUGGAGGGGGAUAACUACUGGAAACGGUAGCUAAUACCGCAUACCAUCAGAUGUGCCCAGAUGGGAUUAGCUAGUAGGUGGGGUAAUGGCUCACCUAGCCGACGAUCCCUAGCUGGUCUGAGAGGAGAACCAGCGACACAGGAACUGAGACAAGGUCCAGACUCCUACGGGAGGCAGCAGGAGGGAAUAUUGCACAAUGGGGGCAAGCCUGAUGCAGCGAUGCAGCGUGUGUGAAGAAGGGCUGCGGGUUGUAAAGAACUUUCAGCCUGGAGGCGUUACUCGCAGAAGAAGCACCGGCUAACUCCGUGCCAGCAGCCGCGGUAAUAC
rnacentral:rRNA from 1 species